AGCCGCUCCUGAGAGGCGUCUCUGUCAACUCCUCGGGUCCCUGCGCCUCUGUCCCAGCAGGAGAGACUGGGGGGUGAGCACCCCGCUCCCCCUGAGCUCUGAACCCCCGGGGGGACGGGACCGGCUCUGUCUACCCCAUAAGUGUGAUUUUCCAUUUCAGCGCCACCGGCACAAUACAAUACAGGAUCUCAGACAAGUCCGCAGUCAGUGUGGGAACCCCCAGGAGCACCAUGCAGGAGCCCUGGAUCAUCUCUCUGAUCACCCUCCUCGCCUACACCAUCCUGUUUGUCAUCAUCAUCUACUUUAUAACACGGAAGGUAGGCAGAUUGCGGUACC